rnacentral:lncRNA from 1 species
UUUUUUUUUUUUUUUUUUUUUUUUUUAGUCCAUUCAGCCACUGUAUGUCUUUUGAUUGGAGCAUUUAAUUCAUUUACACUCAAUUAAUGAUAGGUGAGAUUCCAGUGUUUCCUCCAGAAAGGCACAUUAUUCCUCCACCAUGGUCUUCUUUUUCCUGUGUACCUUGACCCUGUAGGAGAUGAGACUUCUAAAGUGAUUCCUUUCCCUCUUUUCUCCUCAUCACCCCUUCCCACUCUCUAAGGUUUUCAGGUGCUGGUUCCAUGGCUCUUCCUGAGCCGAAAAUAAGGAAACUCCAUAGACCUUGUCCACUGGAACUCGUUCCCAUCUACCCUCCACUCUAUCCAGGUAAGAAACCAACCAUCUCAGGAAAGGAACCAGGCAGGAGUCAGAGGGGAAGAUGGGCACUGAAGGUAUCAAAAUACCCAAAAGAUGCAAAUUGCUAAAGGAAACAAUAAUCAGAUUAGGUGUGGUGAAAGACCUGGAAAAAAA